ACCUGCGGCGCCUAGGAUCGCCGCACGGUCCUCCAUGGGCUUGCCUAUGCCACUGUCGCCCCUGCCCCCGCUUCGCCUUCCUGUCAGCCUAGGCUCGGAGGUGGGACCCGCGGGCUGUGCUCGGGAUUCGGCGGCUCACGACCAGAUCCUGUACUGUAGGGAAAAUGCUAUAAAAGGACAUUAUUGGCUCAACUGACAAGAUUGGAAUAUAUAUGAAACUUAGAUACAGGAGAAUCAAAACCGGAAGUUCAUCCCUGGCCCUCCUGCUUUCUGGUCUUUGGCAAGCAGCAAUUUCUCAGUCAAUGUGAACUACUCAGUUAUCCUGUAGUCCAGAUUUAU